UACGGGGGGGGCAAGCGUUGUUCGGAAUUACUGGGCGUAAAGGGCUCGUAGGCGGCCAACUAAGUCAGACGUGAAAUCCCUCGGCUUAACCGGGGAACUGCGUCUGAUACUGGAUGGCUAGAGGUUGGGAGAGGGAUGCGGAAUUCCAGGUGUAGCGGUGAAAUGCGCAGAUAUCAGGAGGAACACCGGUGGCGAAGGCGGUUCUCUGGGCAUGACCUGACGCUGAGGAGCGAAAGUGUGGGGAGCGAACAGG
rnacentral:rRNA from 1 species